GACGAACGCUGGCGGCGUGCUUAACACAUGCAAGUCGAACGGAAAGGCCCUGCUGCUGUGUGGUGCUCUAGUGGCGAACGGGUGAGUAACACGUGAGUAACCUGCCCUUGACUUUGGGAUAACUUCAGGAAACUGGGGCUAAUACCGGAUAGGAGCUCCUGCUGCAUGGUGGGGGUUGGAAUGUUUCGGCGGUUGGGGAUGGACUCGCGGCUUAUCAGCUUGUUGGUGGGGUAUUGGCUUACCAAGGCUUUGCCGGGUCUCCGGCCUGGGAGGGUGACCGGCCACAUUGGGACUGAGAGACGGCCCAGACUCCUACGGGAGGCAGCAGUGGGAAAUAUUACACAAUGGGCGGAAGCCUGAUGCAGCAGCGCCGCGUGCGGGAUGACGGCCUUCGGGUUGUAAACCGCUUACGCCUGUGACGAAGCGUGAGUGACGGUAAUGGGUAAAGAAGCACCGGCUAACUACGUG
rnacentral:rRNA from 1 species